rnacentral:rRNA from 1 species
GACCUGCGGAGGAUCACUACCUGGCCUUGGGCCGCUCAGGGGAGCCAGUCGCUUGCGACGACGCUGCCUUGGGCGCUUAGCCCUUGACUAUCACCUUGACUACGUGCACCUUUUGUUGUUUCCUCGGCAGGUCAUCUGCCGCCAGGAACCCCCCCUAAACCUUUUUGCAUCAGCAUCUAAACUUCUGAAAACAAACCAAAUCAUUUACAACUUUUAACAAUGGAUCUCUUGGUUCUGGCAUCGAUGAAGAACGCAGCGAAAUGCGAUAAGUAGUGUGAAUUGCAGAAUUCAGUGAAUCAUCGAAUCUUUGAACGCACAUUGCGCCCCUUGGUAUUCCAUGGGGCAUGCCUGUUCGAGCGUCAUUUGUACCCUCAAGCUCUGCUUGGUGUUGGGUGUUUGUCCUCUCCCUAGUGUUUGGACUCGCCUUAAAAUAAUUGGCAGCCAGUGUUUUGGUAUAGAAGCGCAGCACAAGUCGCGAUUCUUAUUAAACACUUGCGUCCACAAGCCUUUUUAACUUUUGACCUCGGAUCAGGUAGGGAUACCCGCUGAACUUAAGCAUAUCAUUAAGCGGAGGA